rnacentral:rRNA from 1 species
UACGUAGGGUGCGAGCGUUGUCCGGAAUUAUUGGGCGUAAAGAGCUCGUAGGCGGUGUGUCACGUCGGCCGUGAAAACCUGCAGCUCAACUGCAGGCUUGCGGGCGAUACGGGCAGGCUAGAGUUCGGUAGGGGAGACUGGAAUUCCUGGUGUAGCGGUGAAAUGCGCAGAUAUCAGGAGGAACACCGGUGGCGAAGGCGGGUCUCUGGGCCGAUACUGACGCUGAGGAGCGAAAGCGUGGGGAGCGAACAGG